CGGGACACGUGGUAUCCUGUCUGAAUAUGGGGGGACCAUCCUCCAAGGCUAAAUACUCCUGACUGACCGAUAGUGAACCAGUACCGUGAGGGAAAGGCGAAAAGAACCCCGGCGAGGGGAGUGAAAAAGAACCUGAAACCGUGUACGUACAAGCAGUGGGAGCACGCUUAGGCGUGUGACUGCGUACCUUUUGUAUAAUGGGUCAGCGACUUAUAUUCUGUAGCAAGGUUAACCGAAUAGGGGAGCCGAAGGGAAACCGAGUCUUAACUGGGCGUUAAGUUGCAGGGUAUAGACCCGAAACCCGGUGAUCUAGCCAUGGGCAGGUUGAAGGUUGGGUAACACUAACUGGAGGACCGAACCGACUAAUGUUGAAAAAUUAGCGGAUGACUUGUGGCUGGGGGUGAAAGGCCAAUCAAACCGGGAGAUAGCUGGUUCUCCCCGAAAGCUAUUUAGGUAGCGCCUCGUGAAUUCAUCUCCGGGGGUAGAGCACUGUUUCGGCAAGGGGGUCAUCCCGACUUACCAACCCGAUGCAAACUGCGAAUACCGGAGAAUGUUAUCACGGGAGACACACGGCGGGUGCUAACGUCCGUCGUGAAGAGGGAAACAACCCAGACCGCCAGCUAAGGUCCCAAAGUCAUGGUUAAGUGGGAAACGAUGUGGGAAGGCCCAGACAGCCAGGAUGUUGGCUUAGAAGCAGCCAUCAUUUAAAGAAAGCGUAAUAGCUCACUGGUCGAGUCGGCCUGCGCGGAAGAUGUAACGGGGCUAAACCAUGCACCGAAGCUGCGGCAGCGACACUAUG
rnacentral:rRNA from 1 species